rnacentral:rRNA from 2 species
GUCGAACGGUGAAGCCAAGCUUGCUUGGUGGAUCAGUGGCGAACGGGUGAGUAACACGUGAGCAACCUGCCCUGGACUCUGGGAUAAGCGCUGGAAACGGCGUCUAAUACUGGAUAUGAGACGUGAUCGCAUGGUCGUGUUUGGAAAGAUUUUUCGGUCUGGGAUGGGCUCGCGGCCUAUCAGCUUGUUGGUGAGGUAAUGGCUCACCAAGGCGUCGACGGGUAGCCGGCCUGAGAGGGUGACCGGCCACACUGGGACUGAGACACGGCCCAGACUCCUACGGGAGGCAGCAGUGGGGAAUAUUGCACAAUGGGCGAAAGCCUGAUGCAGCAACGCCGCGUGAGGGAUGACGGCCUUCGGGUUGUAAACCUCUUUUAGCAGGGAAGAAGCGAAAGUGACGGUACCUGCAGAAAAAGCGCCGGCUAACUACGUGCCAGCAGCCGCGGUAAUACGUAGGGCGCAAGCGUUAUCCGGAAUUAUUGGGCGUAAAGAGCUCGUAGGCGGUUUGUCGCGUCUGCUGUGAAAUCCCGAGGCUCAACCUCGGGCCUGCAGUGGGUACGGGCAGACUAGAGUGCGGUAGGGGAGAUUGGAAUUCCUGGUGUAGCGGUGGAAUGCGCAGAUAUCAGGAGGAACACCGAUGGCGAAGGCAGAUCUCUGGGCCGUAACUGACGCUGAGGAGCGAAAGGGUGGGGAGCAAACAGGCUUAGAUACCCUGGUAGUCCACCCCGUAAACGUUGGGAACUAGUUGUGGGGACCAUUCCACGGUUUCCGUGACGCAGCUAACGCAUUAAGUUCCCCGCCUGGGGAGUACGGCCGCAAGGCUAAAACUCAAAGGAAUUGACGGGGACCCGCACAAGCGGCGGAGCAUGCGGAUUAAUUCGAUGCAACGCGAAGAACCUUACCAAGGCUUGACAUAUACGAGAACGGGCCAGAAAUGGUCAACUCUUUGGACACUCGUAAACAGGUGGUGCAUGGUUGUCGUCAGCUCGUGUCGUGAGAUGUUGGGUUAAGUCCCGCAACGAGCGCAACCCUCGUUCUAUGUUGCCAGCACGUAAUGGUGGGAACUCAUGGGAUACUGCCGGGGUCAACUCGGAGGAAGGUGGGGAUGACGUCAAAUCAUCAUGCCCCUUAUGUCUUGGGCUUCACGCAUGCUACAAUGGCCGGUACAAAGGGCUGCAAUACCGUGAGGUGGAGCGAAUCCCAAAAAGCCGGUCCCAGUUCGGAUUGAGGUCUGCAACUCGACCUCAUGAAGUCGGAGUCGCUAGUAAUCGCAGAUCAGCAACGCUGCGGUGAAUACGUUCCCGGGUCUUGUACACACCGCCCGUCAAGUCAUGAAAGUCGGUAACACCUGAAGCCGGUGGCCCAACCCUUGUGGAGGGAG